rnacentral:lncRNA from 1 species
CAAUCACCGGGGCGUGCCACGUGGAGUCUGCCGCGGAGAGUGGAGCGGCGUCCGUUGUCGCGACUUGCCAGAGGAUGGAAGAAUCGUGCGGUAUCCAUCGCAAGAAGUGGAGUAGGAUCGUGGCCAUCAUUGUGGCCUGCCAGGGAGUGAUGGAGCCACGUGGAAUCCAUCGUAGGAAGUGGAGCAGUGCUGUGGCCGUUACCGUGGCCUG